AUUGAACGCUGGCGGAAUGCUUUACACAUGCAAGUCGAGCGGCAGCGCGGGGCAACCUGGCGGCGAGCGGCGAACGGGUGAGUAAUGCAUCGGAACAUGUCCAUGUCGUGGGGGAUAGCCCGGCGAAAGCCGGAUUAAUACCGCAUACGCGCGAGAGAGGAAAGCCGGGGACCGCAAGGCCUGGCGCGAUUGGGUUGGCCGAUGUCCGAUUAGCUUGUUGGUGAGGUAAAGGCUUACCAAGGCGAUGAUCGGUAGCUGGUCUGAGAGGAUGAUCAGCCACACUGGGACUGGGACACGGCCCAGACUCCUACGGGAGGCAGCAGUGGGGAAUUUUGGACAAUGGGGGCAACCCUGAUCCAGCCAUUCCGCGUGAGUGAAGAAGGCCUUCGGGUUGUAAAGCUCUUUUGUCCGGAGCGAAACGGGUGCGGCUAAUACCUGCGCCUACUGACGGUACCGGAAGAAUAAGCACCGGCUAACUACGUGCCAGCCGCCGCGGUAAAAC
rnacentral:rRNA from 1 species